rnacentral:lncRNA from 1 species
UUCAGCCAAUCUCCAGUCUUCCUUUAUUUUCUAAAUAAAAACUGAGCUUAUUGUAUAAACCUCCAGCCGACCAGGGUGUAUACAUAGUUGUCACGUCACACAGUAUUAAAGGGACAUGCAUCACUUGAAAAAAAAUUUUUAAACCAGGAAGCAAACACUUUUAAACAUAUCAAAAUAAAGCAAACACAACUUUGAAAAGUAUGUAAUAAACAUUAACAAAAAAACGUUGUCAGCUUGUAAUGCAUGCUUCUCAACUAGGGGAGUUUCUUCAGCCCUCCCCACCUUAUCCACAUAGUAAUCUAGACCAGGGAUAGGCAACCUUCGGCACUCCAGAUGUUGUGGACUACAUCCCCCAUAAUGCUCUUACACCCAUAAUGCUGGUAAAGGAUCAUGGGAGGUGUAGUCCAAAACAUCUGGAGUGCCGAAGGUUGCCUAUGCCUGAUCUAGACCAUUUCACUAAUGACAGAAUAAGGGGGUCAUUGCGCAGCAGGAGGAGAGAGAACCCAUAACCGCAGAGCCUGCUCUGCAUGAUUACACUAACCGCCUGUCAGGAUGUUGCAAGGUGAAGAGAUCUUCCUACUGUACAUAGGUAAAAAUCUGUCCGGCAAGCCCAUUGCACUUUUCCAUUAUUCCUAGGGAUAGGACACUGAUUGGUCAGAUCAGUGUUCCCCCUGGAGUGGGUGUGGAAAGCAUAAGAAAGAAGAAACAGGUUUACCUGAAAAAACAUAACUCGCCUGCUUGUUUUCAGCCUGCAAAGUGAUGCAUGUUCCUUUAACCUGUGACACAUGAUCUGCACCAGUAAAAUGGAGUGAAUUAAACUCUUGGUUGGGCAGAGAAAAUCUAACGCAUAGCAAGAAACAGACAUCCAUGUUUCUCGUCUUUCUGUUGGGGACCUGUAUGUAUUGUUGAACAUUUGGUUUUUAUUUUACCUUUGUAGGUGGUCAAGUAUUUGGAAGCUUUGUUUAUUUAGGGUGUUAAGCUAAUCCAGGGCUCCUCCUGAUUCAGGAUGUUUGUGUGUAUCAUCCGCCUCGACGCACAAAGUAUUUAGAAUAGUACAAACUCUAAAUGUGAAUUUCAAAAAGGGAAAUAUCUUUAUUUUGCUGAAUGUACUCUGGUGUAUAUAUAUUUUUUAAAAAUAAUCCUAUAUGUUUAAUUUUAAUGCUAUUACUGUGAAUAUUUUGAAGACUCAACCAUGUUAUAAAUAAAAUAAUUUUAAUGUCAAAACUAGAAAGGUGUGUUUGUAUACGUUUUAUCUGUAUAUUUGUUUCACCGUUGGAACUAAACUCUUAUUUUAGGCUUCGCUAAAACCAAAAAGAGCAAUGUACAUAACAUGUUUGAAUAUCACUAUUUUUGCAACAAUGCUUUUCUUCAAUAAAUCUGGUGUGUAUAUAACCAACCUUCGUCUGUCAUUUUCCUGGAAUGAUAGAAUGUACACGGUCUGUAUCAAUCUCAUGGGUGUUGGCAUAGUGCUAAUGUCACGCUAAAUAAAUAUCCUGGAUAAUGGCACUGGCAGAAAGGCUUAGAGGCCAAAGCUGUUUGGGAGGCUGGCGCUAUUGUAAAGGUUAAUAUCUGAAUGUUUUAUUGGACCCCAUACUAUACAGUGAAUUCAUGCAUAGAAUUCAGUUUUAUUCACCAUGUGUUAUACUGUCCAGUUGAGAAUCUCUGCCGGCUAAUGGAGAAACUUGUUGCA